rnacentral:lncRNA from 1 species
UCCUUCUUAAAUUUUAAAAUCUCUCCCUCCCUUUCAAAACGUUCUUUGUUUGUGUUUUCAACUUAGACUUGUUUCAAUGAGUAGAAACUUUGGCCUUAUCCCAUUGAUUUUCAAAACACUUUCUUAAUCAAAUUGUGAAUAAACUUAAUCAUAUUAACUUAACUUUCAAAAAGACAAAAAGAACUAACAAACUCAUUUGAUUCUUUGGCCAUUUUGUGCCGUUUUGUUUUAAAACUUUUGCAAGAGAGUAUUUAGAUUUGAGUUAUCUACGGUUGAGAUAUAAUUCUC